AUAGUAGAGGGGCAUUAUGUUUUCUGGUCUGUGGCUCCGUUCGUUCGUUCGUCCCGCUUCAGGUUAAAGUUUUUGGUCGAGGUAGUUUUUGAUGAAGUUGAAGUCCAAUCAACUUGAAACUUAGUAUAUAUGUUCCUUAUUAUAUGAUCUUUCUAAUUUUAAUGUCAAAUUAGAGUUCUGACCCCAAUUUCACGGUCCACUGAACAUAGAAAAUGAUAGUGCGAGUGGGGCAUCUGUGUACUGGGGACACAUUCUUGUUUUUAA
rnacentral:lncRNA from 1 species